UGCCGCUCGCUUGGGGGCGGUGCGGCCGCGUCGCGGGUCGCUCCGCCUCUGCUCUGGUGAGGGCCGCGCCGUUACCGCGGGGCUGUCAUGGCUGCCCGGGGGACGCCCGGCGGCCCCGAGGGGGGUGUUGAGGCCGAGACUGACGGAAAGAAACGCCACGGGCGCUCCUGAUCUGCCCCUAACGGCUCCGCGGGCAGGCGAGUCGCGGCCAGCUGCUGUGUAAGCUUAGGCUUACCUUUUGGAUGGACGGGAACGUUAAUCAAAAAGCUUUGUUUUGUGAGAGCCUUCAGGGGAAACACGGGGGAAAGACCCUGCUUUGAUCAUCUAUAGGCUGAGUUACCAGAAGGGAAAACUACACCAACAAACUAUGACAGAAGAAGGGAUGCAAACCACUAAAAAAGAGGCGGUGAUACCAGAGACCAUAUGGACCUCAGCAGAAAAAGCAUUGGAAAUAGGACUUGCCUGCUGAUAGAAAUGAGUGGUGUUCAUGCAUAAGCCUGGAAGAUAGCAC